UCUUUAAAACUUAAUAUAAUUUGUGUGACUUUUGUAAAAUUACUUAUGAGAUUUAAAAUAAUUUUAAAAUAAUUAAAAUAAUUUUAAUUCUCUGUUUUAAAAUAAUUUUGUUUAAAUGUACGUAUGCAAAUUAAAGUUGGAAUUAAGUUAUCAUUUCUCUGCGAACUAUUGCGAGAUUAUACACACAUGUUGCGAUAAGUUCUUAUCAAAGAUACGCUUCACCUUUGACAUGCCAUCCUGUAAAUAUGACGUAAUAUCUGUAAUGGAAAUUAUCAAAAGCCACAGUUUGAAUUCGUGGAAUCUUCGGUGAAAAACUAUUAAUCAGUCCUUGCGCAGCAUUAUUAACGACAGCGUCUUUAUAAAUUCUGUCUUCUCUCUCAGAGGACAUUUCACGCAUCGUACUGAGUCGUUUUAGCAAGAAGAAAUUUUCGAGACGGUUUGCACUCUGCGGCAAAAAUAAAAAAUGAAAGUUUACAUUGCGUUAUUUAUGAUUUUCGUGACGAUGAUGACCGUGUCAUCAACGCCACUGAAACAAAAUCAAAGUUCCACUACCGUAUCACCGGCAAUUUCUCCACUCAAUAUCAUAACAGUGCCGGAAUUUCCGUGUCCAGCUGGCCAGCAACGCGAUGCAAAUGGAAAAUGUCGAUUGUUUUUGCAAAAACUGAAGAAGUAAAUUUCAACGAGCACCAAAUAAGAUCUCGACGACACGAGUAGUGCCGUUCUACAAACGUAACAGUGAAAUAUCGUAACAACGCACGACGAGAGAUUGGCCCGGCUAUUUGUCCACUUUGAAUUAUCAAGGAAACUACUUCGCCAGCAAUGCAAUUAUCAAUGUAUAUUUUGUUCCUGUACUACCGCCAUUGAUUACGCGAUAACUUAUGGUCUUAAUACGAGUCCCGGUUCGUCGUGACGAAAUAUCUUUUUAACUAUAUCCAUAUGUCUCUUUUAUGUUGAUUUUUACGUAUAAAAUGAAAACCAUGUAUGUACGUCAACAAAAUCUAGCAAUAAAAAUAGAAAAAAAACCCG